rnacentral:ncRNA from 1 species
GCGGGCCAACGCGGGCGCCCGUAGGAGACGGCUUUCCCGUCCAAGUCCUGC